UCAGUACCCUGUUGGUUUCAGUGUUAAAUGGCCACAAGUUUAUUGAUCUAAAUAUGUAAAUCUUUCUUGUUUUGUUUUCAUUUUCAUGCGCUACUCUAUUAGGAAUAACAACUAAAAAACAUUGAAAGUUGGAUUUGAUUUCCUUCCCAACACAAGCAACAAAUAUAAUAAAUGUCUCACAUCCUUAACUCCGGCAAAAUAUUAAUUGACUGACACAAUGGAUCUGUCUAUUAAUCAAGAGUGUAUUACUAAAACUACAGAUUGAUUGUUUUUUAGUUAUGCAGCAUAUAGUAUUCUCCCCAGUUCUGCUAGAUUGGAUUGUUAGUUCAUGUACUUUGGUAAAUCAUUUUGGAAAUUUUGAUUAGGAAACUAAUUUGUGUUCAUGUUGGUUUAUCUAUGCUCCUUUGUCAUUGAUGCGCCUACUGUACUGUAAUUAUUUAGUUCCUCCGCUUAUAGGAUGAUCUCAGGUUUAGUAGUGAUAUAAAAAAUACAUUUCUGCGUUUUCCCUCUGCAGCUGUGUUGCUACGUCACUUUCUGUUCCUUAUGGUCUGCCACUAUUUGACGUCCUUUUUGUGCUCAAACAUUUCUCGUUGUUCCUUGCAUGAUCCAAAUGAGCUUGGUUACGUACAAAAUUAUUGUGGAGGGUCUCAGGUAAUCGUUGCUGUUGAAGAUUACGCCCUGGUCAUGAUUUUCAUUUUCAAACUUGCCAUUCAUCAGAGGUUUUGGAUGGAGUGCACUCAUGCAUUAUAUUGGAGUAGGAACCUGGCGAGGAGGAGGAUACCAUGGGGAGGCGAACCUGGUAAAAUAGGGGUGAAAGUAGAAUAUAGACUGUAGGUUCGUGUUUUCCUUAUCGAGGACACUGUGAAGGCUUCUAAUGCAGUUUUACAAGAAGCAUCUAUGGAGCUAAUUCAGAGGUUAGGUAGUGCUUGUCAUGUUUUUUCAUUUUUAACCACUGUUCAAGAUAUCUUCCGAUAUUUCUGAUAAAUCGGCCGAUUUAUCGCUUACCGUUGUCUGACCGAUAAGAUAAAUCGGUCGAUAAAUCAACUGAUAUGUCGAUAAAUCGCCCGAUAUGCCGAUAAACUGGUUGAUUUACCCCUUAUCAUGGGUCGACCGAUAAGUUCCCGAUAACGAUAUCCCCAACAUUGUUUUUAACUAUGGUGUCUAGGAUGAAAUGACCCUUAGUUGUGAUUCCAUUUUUUGUAUGUAAAAUUAUAUUUUUUAAGUUUUGUAUUCAGUCUGCCACUUGCCAGUGAAUUAGGGCUGCAUUCACUAGUAGAAAACUAGGCUUUGGUCACAGGGCAAUAUUCACAUUAGUCCCGGUCCAGUCACGAACCGGGACUAAUGUGAGCAUUGGUCCCGGUUCGUGCGGCCAGGGGCCUGCCG